rnacentral:misc_RNA from 1 species
GUUUCUGAACUACUCCAUGUAAAUCCAAAUAGAUCAGGGGUACAGUGCAGAGCAACUUUAGUUUAUGAAAUGAAAAUGAUUUCAUGAUGUCAAUGUUGAAGAUUACCAUCUAAUGACAGUCACUUCCCAAAGAAAAUCCUAUUUAAAACAUCAACUGGCAUAGCGUAAGCUGGAUCUACGGCCUUCAAACCAGGAUAUUCAAGAAGGGCAAGACCAGCAAUUCCAAAAAAUGUAUGGAACACAUCCACAGCAUCAUCAGGUCUAUCUGAAAUCCCUCCAUUUUCUUUGUCCUGACAGUUUAAGAUGAAUUUAACAAGCUUUUCCUUGUUAAUCCAAUGAACUCUGUCAAUCAUAGUCAAGCUAGAGAGAACCCACCAUGAGUAGCAAACAUCAGGAAGUUUUUCAGGGCGGCCAUUUAGACCUCCAGACUUGACUUGCCGCUCACAUAACCACCACCCAAGGAGGUCCUUGUCAACGAGAUGAAGAGACCCCGUAAUAGCAAGGGCAGCCAAAGAACAAAAAAUUUGUCCAGCAUGAGAUUCCCCACCGGGAGAGCAUCCAAAUCCACCAUCCACAUUUUUGCAACUUAAGAUGUAGUUCACAGCUUUCUCCACGUUUAUUUUAUCCAGACGAUGCAAUAAAGAGAGACAACAUAUAGCAACAUAAGAGAACCGUGUAUCAAUUUCACCCCACAUGUCCCCAGAAAAGGAUCCAU